rnacentral:lncRNA from 1 species
CGUUUCCGGUGCCCUCCGCCUCCGGCGGCGGGGUGAGGCCGGCAGUGCCCCGGCGGCGUCCCCAUGGUAACGGCCGCGUGGAGCUGUCCCUCAAUUGCCACUCGGACCUACCUCAAACACUAACCCAGCACUAACCGGGUGCCAAUUUAGAGCUAAUUAAGCAUUAAUUGAGUUCUGAGUAGCCUCAAUUAAGCCCUAAUUAGUCCCUAAUGAGGCGGUAGCACCCGGGGCAUCGUCGCCAUGGCGCUGCGGCGCCUCUGCACCAGGGCCCCCCAGGACCACUACGAGGUUUUGGGGUCCCCCCCGACGCCACCCCCAACAGAUCCGUGCGGCGUUCCUGCAGCGCUGCAAGGAGGU